GAUGAACGCUGGCGGCGUGCCUAAUACAUGCAAGUCGAGCGAACAGACGAGGAGCUUGCUCCUCUGACGUUAGCGUCGUACGGGUGAGUAACACGUUGAUAACCUACCUAUAAGACUGGGAUAACUUCGGGAAACCGGAGCUAAUACCGGAUAAUAUAUUGAACCGCAUGGUUCAAUAGUGAAAGACGGUUUUGCUGUCACUUAUAGAUGGAUCCGCGCCGCAUUAGCUAGUUGGUAAGGUAACGGCUUACCAAGGCAACGAUGCGUAGCCGACCUGAGAGGGUGAUCGGCCACACUGGAACUGAGACACGGUCCAGACUCCUACGGGAGGCAGCAGUAGGGAAUCUUCCGCAAUGGGCGAAAGCCUGACGGAGCAACGCCGCGUGAGUGAUGAAGGUCUUCGGAUCGUAAAACUCUGUUAUUAGGGAAGAACAAAUGUGUAAGUAACUAUGCACGUCUUGACGGUACCUAAGCAGAAAGCCACGGCUAACUACGUG
rnacentral:rRNA from 1 species